GACGAACGCUGGCGGCGUGCCUAAUACAUGCAAGUCGAACGAGAGCGACCGGUUCUUGCUCUGGUCAAUCUAGUGGCGCACGGGUGAGUAAAACGUGUGUAACCAGUCCACUAGACGGGGAUAACAUCCGGAAACGGAUGCUAAAAUCCCCUAGGUCUUCGAGCCGUAUCGCUUGUAUAGGAAAAGAGGCCCAAGCUUCUGCUGAUGGCUUGACCCGCGGUGCAUUAGCUAGUUGGUGAGGUAACGGCUCACCAAGGCCGGGAUGCAUAGCCGACCUGAGAGGGUGAUCGGCCACAUUGGGACUGAGACACGGCCCAAACUCCUACGGGAGGCAGCAGUAGGGAAUCUUCCGCAAUGGACGCAAGUCUGACGGAGCAACGCCGCGUGAGUGAAGAAGGUUUUCGGAUCGUAAAACUCUGUUGUUAGAGAAGAACAAGUGCUAGAGUAACUGUUAGCGCCUUGACGGUAUCUAACCAGAAAGCCACGGCUAACUACGUG
rnacentral:rRNA from 1 species